GAUGAACGCUGGCGGCGUGCCUAAUACAUGCAAGUCGAGCGAACAGACGAGGAGCUUGCUCCUCUGACGUUAGCGGCGGACGGGUGAGUAACACGUGGAUAACCUACCUAUAAGACUGGGAUAACUUCGGGAAACCGGAGCUAAUACCGGAUAAUAUAUUGAACCGCAUGGUUCAAUAGUGAAAGACGGUUUUGCUGUCACUUAUAGAUGGAUCCGCGCCGCAUUAGAUAGUUGGUAAGGUAACGGCUUACCAAGGCGACGAGGCGUAGCCGACGUGAGAGGGUGAUAGGCCACACUAGAACUGAGACACGCUCCAGACUCCUACGGGAGGCAGCAGUCGGGAAUCUUCCGCAAUGGUCGAAAGCCUGACGGAGCAACGCCGCGUGAGUGAUGAAGGUCUUCGGAUCGUAAAACUCUGUUAUUAGGGAAGAACAAAUGUGUAAGUAACUAUGCACGUCUUGACGGUAACUAAUCAGAAAGCCACGGCUAACUACGUG
rnacentral:rRNA from 1 species